CCUACGGGGGGCAGCAGUGGGGAAUCUUCUGCAAUGCGCGCAAGCGUGACAGAUUGAGUCAGAGUGAUUUUCAUUUGAAAAUCUUUUGCCAAAUGUAAAAAGUUUGGCGAAUAAGGACUGGGUAAGACGGGUGCCAGCCGCCGCGGUAAUACCCGCGGUCCAAGUCGCAGCCAUCAUUAUUGGGUCUAAAACAUCCGUAGCUUGCUUAAUAAGUUUCUUGUGAAAUUCUAUAUCUCAAGUAUAGAUCGGGCAAGAAGUACUGUUGAGCUAGAGACUGGAAGACGUAAGAAGUACGUUUGGAGUAGCGGUAAAAUGUGUUAAUCCCAGACGGACUAACAACAGCGAAGGCAUCUUACGAGGACAGUUCUGACAGUAAGGGAUGAAGGCCAGGGGCGCAAAACGGAUUAGAUACCCCCGUAGUCC
rnacentral:rRNA from 1 species